rnacentral:rRNA from 1 species
AGAAGGGUUCAGUCUUCUGACCCUAUUGAUAUCCUGAAUAUCAAACUUAAAAGAUGCAAAACUUACUUCAAAGGUUGGGGAUCGGAUAAAUAUGGCACGACAAAAAAAAGAAAAGAAGAGCUCCGGAUUGAGCUGGCUAUGCUAGAAGAGCUUGAAGAAAAUGGUCCCUUGUCCCCUGAGCUAUACAGCAUCAAGGUUGAUGUUAGUACUGAGCUUGAUGACAUACUGGUGAAUGAGGAGAUAUAUUGGCUCCAACAGUCUCAUGAACGCUGGCUCUUGAAAGGGGACCUGAACACGGACUAUUAUCAUAAAAUUGCAAAUGGUCGUAAGAGGAAGAACACAAUCCACUCCCUUAAAGCUGGGGAUGUGGAGAUCGAGGGCACGGACAAUCUGAUUGCUCAUGCCAUGGAGUAUUACAAAAGUCUGUUCGAACCUGGGUCUGGUAAUCUGUUCCACCUUGAACCUGACACAUGGUCUGUUGAGGAAAAGCUCAAUGCUAGUGAUAAUGCUGAUUUGUGUCGUGAGUUCAUGGAGGAAGAGAUCAAGGAGGCGCUGUUCUCUAUGGCACAUAAUAGAGCCCCUGGCCCUGACAAUAUUCCUGUUGAAUUCUAUCAGGUGUGCUGGGAUAUUGUUAAAGAUGAUCUUGUGAGGCUGUUUGUGAGCUUUCAUAAUGGGACUUUGGAUUUUCAACGUCCUAACUAUGGGGUGAUCACCCUUUUGCCCGCGCGGAUAAAAUCCAGCAAUUUAGACCUAUAUGUCUCCUGA